ACAGCAGCCGCCACGGUAAUACGAAGGGGGCUAGCGUUGCUCGGAAUUACUGGGCGUAAAGGGAGCGUAGGCGGAUCGUUAGGUUGGGGGUGAAAGCCCGGGGCUCAACCUCGGAACUGCCUUCAAUACUGGCGAUCUUGAGUAUGAGAGAGGUGUGUGGAACUCCGAGUGUAGAGGUGAAAUUCGUAGAUAUUCGGAAGAACACCAGUGGCGAAGGCGACACACUGGCUCAUUACUGACGCUGAGGCUCGAAAGCGUGGGGAGCAAACAGGAUUAGAUACCCGAGUAGUCCCUGUCUCUUAUAC
rnacentral:rRNA from 1 species